GUGUUUACUUCAGCAGCACAAAUGUUAAAACUGGAAGGAUACAGGAAAGAUUAGCAUGACUUCUGUGCAAGGAUGACACAUAUAUUCAUUAAACGUUCCUUUUUUUU
ensembl:snRNA U6 U6 spliceosomal RNA